AUCUUGUCUGUCUUUAUCACCAUCUGUUUGUAGAUACAACAAGGAACCACCUAUCUACAGGUGACAACUGAGCCUGAUAGAUCUAGGUACCACACUAUCUACAGGUGACAACUGGGCCUGAUAGAUCUAGGUACCACACUAUCUACAGGUGACAACUGGGCCUGAUAGAUCUAGGUACCACACUAUCUACAGGUGACAACUGGGCCUGAUAGAUCUAGGUACCACACUAUCUACAGGUGACAACUGAGCCUGAUAGAUCUAGGUACCACACUAUCUACAGGUGACAACUGAGCCUGAUAGAUCUAGGUACCACACUAUCUACAGGUGACAACUGGGUCUGAUGAUAGGACUAGGUAGCGCACUAUCUACAGGUGACAACUGGGUCUGAUGAUAGGACUAGGUAGCGCACUAUCUACAGGUGACAACUGGGUCUGAUGAUAGGACUAGGUACCGCACUAUCUACAAGUGACAACUGGGUCUGAUGAUAGGACUAGGUAGCGCACUAUCUACAGGUGACAACUGGGUCUGAUGAUAGGACUAGGUACCGCACUAUCUACAAGUGACAACUGGGUCUGAUGAUAGGACUAGGUAGCGCACUAUCUACAGGUGACAACUGAGCCUGAUAGAUCUAGGUACCACACUAUCUACAAGUGACAACUGGGCCUGGUGAUAGAACUAGGUACCACACUAUCUACAGGUGACAACUGAGUCCCACACUAUCUACAGGUGACAACUGGGUCUGAUACAACUAGGUACCACACUAUCUACAGGUGACAACUGAGUCCCACACUAUCUACAGGUGACAACUGGGUCUGAUACAACUAGGUACCACACUAUCUACAGGUGACAACUGGGCCAGAUGAUCGACUUAGGUAACCUGCUUUUCCCUUGUCUGUUCUACAAUAUUUGUUGAUGAAUAUCACAUUAAACAUUAUCGAUCAAAAAGUUGUAUUGUACUGCCACAUAUUAGAAAAAUGAUUAGUUCACCUGCAUGCUACGUCAUUAUUUAACUUUUCAUUGUAAACCUUUUAUGUAACUCAUGUGAGAUCUAGUCAACUUAUUAUUGAUGUGACUUUUGCUUGAUUUCUUAGAGAAUUUUAUGUAUUCAACAAAUUAUAUUCCACUCUUUCAUGCUAUUUUGAUUUUUCCCAUUUUAUCUCACAUUCCAUUUGUUUUAUUUUAACUUGUUGUGAUCUGAGAGUGGUGUAAAAGUGUAACAGAGUAGCUACCAAAUGUAUUUACUAACUUUAAAUACCAGUGCUGUAAACUAGAUGGUGUUGUUACCCAGAGACUAAACCUUCAGAUUGAUGUUGCUUUCAUAUUUUACAGGAGAAUCUUCGUACUUGCUUAGAAAAAGACAAAUCUUUCUCACAUACUUCACAGGGUUAUAUCCCGCGGUUGCUAGGGAAAAGAUAAAUUGAUCUCGCACAGGGGAGGUGAAGACAGCUGGCACGCACUUUAUGACACUGUUCACAAUAACAUAACUUCAUCAUUUUAUGUUGAGUAACCAUGUCUUAAUGAUGACAUCAUUAAUUUUGAUGUACAUUCCAAGGAGCAUUGCAGGUGGUGCGAUGAAAAACUUUCAGGAAAGCUUACAUUUGCUUGUAAGUAUGUGAGAAAAAUAAUCAAACAUGGGUCUGUUACGUGAGCAAGUAUAUCUCAACCCUGGUGUAAGAGUUUGGCUGGCCAGCAUUCGACAUGCCUCGUGCAGACUGGCCAAACUCUUACACUUGUCAUAAUGUCAUAAUGAUGAAUUAUUUCUACUUGAAGGUUUCUGGUGAACAGAUUAGAUUGCUGUUUCUUCAGUCUGGAAUUGAUUUAUUUGUAAAAUGUGAGAACAUUAUUCAAACAUGGGUCUUAUCCAUACCAUCAUGUUGACCAGGCCAAACUCUUACACUCUGGGCAAUAUAUCCCUGUCAACAGAACAGAUCCUAGUAAAAAAAAAAAAGGAGAUCACAGCUAGGACUAGUAAUCCAUAACAUGACUAGAUAUAUUUUAUACUUUAACCUUAUGAGGAUAAACUCCCAUAUUUUCUGUUUUUAACUUCACCAAAGUCUAUUUUAAUGCUUCCCUGGCUGUGGUAUGAGGUUGUAAUUGGGAAUUAUUGGUCCUGUAAAAUAGUUCUGGUUGUGAUUUUAAUUCAUUAUCAAGAAAUCUAAUAAAAUCUUUAAGGGAUUGUACUCAUACAGUAGGUGUCAUUCUAUUGCGAAACUACAUGAAAUUGGCAAUUGUGUUACUUGUAUGGUUUUUAUUUCAGGCUAUUGUAACUUCCAAAUCCUACAUGAACACACAAAUUUGUAUAAAAAUUGGAUACACAAUUUGCAAUCUUCUUUAAAGCCAAACAUUUACAAUUUACUACUUUAUAUUCAAUUUGCUUUUGGAAUGAUCUCUUUAAUCUAGAAGUGUAAAGCACAAAAUUUGAGAAUAAAAUAUAAAGGAUUUCUAUUGUUAUAGCAACUGGAGAUAUCAGUCUAAGACAACACAAAACACGGAGGACUGGAAAAUACCCAGCGAGAUUGUGCACAAUUAAUUUUAAUUCAAGCUUGUUCCAUUCUGUUAAUUAUUUCAUUUAUUUGAUAAAAGUUUUGAUUCCUUAUGUAGUACAUUGUAUCUCUUUAACAACAGAUGUUAUGUAAUACAUUUCCCUAACAACAGAAGUUAUGUAAUACAUCUCUGAAACAACAGAUGUUAUGUAGUACAUCUCUGAAACGACAGAUGUUAUGUAGUACAUCUCCCUAACAACAUAUGUUAUGUAAUACAUCUCUGAAACAACAGAUGUUAUGUAAUACAUCUCUGAAACAACAGAUGUUAUGUAGUACAUCUCUGUAGUGACAUGUUAUGUAGUACAUCUUUGUAACAACAGAUGUUAUUUAAUACAUCUCUGUAGUGACAUGCUAUGUAGUACAUCUCUGUAAUGACAGAUGUUAUGUAAUACAUCUCUGAAACAACAGAUGUUAUGUAAUACAUCUCCCUAACAACAGAUGUUAUGUAGUACAUCUCCCUAACAACAGAUGUUAUGUAAUACAUCUCUGAAACAACAGAUGUUAUGUAGUACAUCUCCCUAACAACAGAUGUUAUGUAAUAUAUCUCCCUAACAACAGAUGUUAUGUAAUACAUCUCUGAAACAACAGAUGUUAUGUAAUACAUCUUUGUUACAACAGAUGUUAUGUAAUACACUCUGAAAUGACAGAUGUAAUAUAGUACAUCUCCCUAACAACAGAUGUUAUGUAAUACAUCUCUGUAAUGACAUGUUAUGUAGUACAUCUUUGUAACAACAGAUGUUAUGUAAUACAUCUCCCUAACAACAGAUGUUAUGUCAUACAUCUCUGUAGUGACAUAUUAUGUAGUACAUCUCCGUAAUAACAGAUGUUAUUUAAUACAUUGUAUCUGUACUGUUACAUUUUCUGUAUAAUAAUAUAUAAUUCAUUGUAAGUGGUUCCCUUUUCACCAGGUCUCGACUGCCUGGAACUUUACAUGUUUCUUUGUAUGAACUCCUCUGGAAUAAACAUUUCCUAUGGAAAAGGUUUGGUGUUGAAAGUUCUAAUAAUGAAGGUCAAUUCAAGGAAUGAGUGUUCUGAGUUAAAACCAUUGGUUUUCAUUCUUGAAUGUGUUUUUAGAUGAAUGACUGUGAUGAUUGUUAAGUUUGAGGUAGCCAACUAUUGUCUAAGUUAUAGAUGUAUGUAUAUGUAUAUUAUGCACCAACAAAUGUUGGCACUCGUGGUUGUAUAGAGAAUGUAGAGGGUACACAGCUAGUGUGCUAGUAUGACCAUUCAUGUCUUCAGAGAUUAAUAAUGAACUGAUCAAUAAAAAAUUAACUACAAAAAUCUU